UACGAAGGGGGCUAGCGUUGCUCGGAUUGACUGGGCGUAAAGGGCGCGUAGGCGGUUUGUACAGUCAGACGUGAAAUUCCCGGGCUCAACCUGGGGGCUGCGUUUGAUACGUGCGGACUUGAGUUCGGAAGAGGGUCGUGGAAUUCCCAGUGUAGAGGUGAAAUUCGUAGAUAUUGGGAAGAACACCGGUGGCGAAGGCGGCGACCUGGUCCGAUGCUGACGCUGAGGCGCGAAAGCGUGGGGAGCAAACAGG
rnacentral:rRNA from 1 species